GUCUAGCGCCCCGCAGGGGGAGCGGCGGACGGGUGAGUAACGCGUGGGAAUCUGCCCUUUGGUGUGGGACAACCACGGGAAACUGUGGCUAAUACCGCAUGAGCCCGAGAGGGGAAAGCCGCGAGGCGCCGAGGGAUGAGCCCGCGUCGGAUUAGCUAGUUGGUAGGGUAACGGCCUACCAAGGCGAUGAUCCGUAGCUGGUCUGAGAGGAUGAUCAGCCACACUGGGACUGAGACACGGCCGAGACUCCUACGGGAGGCAGCAGUGGGGAAGAUUGGACAAUGGGGGAAACCCUGAUCCAGCCAUGCCGCGUGAGUGAUGAAGGCCUUCGGGUUGUAAAGCUCUUUCGGCGGGGACGAUAAUGACGGUACCCGCAGAAGAAGCCCCGGCUAACUUCGUGCCAGCAGCCGCGGUAAUACGAAGGGGGCUAGCGUUGUCCGGAAUUACUGGGCGUAAAGCGCGCGUAGGCGGCCAUGCAAGUCGGACGUGAAAGCCCGGGGCUCAACCCCGGAGCUGCGCCGGAGACUGCAAGGCUCGAGACCAGGAGAGGGGAGCGGAAUUCCCAGUGUAGAGGUGAAAUUCGUAGAUAUUGGGAAGAACACCGGUGGCGAAGGCGGCUCCCUGGCCUGGUUCUGACACUGAGGCGCGAAAGCGUGGGGAGCAAACAGGAUUAGAUACCCUGGUAGUCCACGCCGUAAACGAUGAGUGCCAGACGUCGGGGGGCUCGCCUCUCGGUGUCGACGCUAACGCAUUAAGCACUCCGCCUGGGGAGUACGGCCGCCAGGUUAAAACUCAAAGGAAUUGACGGGGGCCCAGCACAAGCGGUGGAGCAUGUGGUUUAAUUC
rnacentral:rRNA from 1 species